rnacentral:rRNA from 1 species
GACGAACGCUGGCGGCGUGCUUAACACAUGCAAGUCGAACGGAAAGGCCCCUUUUGGGGGUACUCGAGUGGCGAACGGGUGAGUAACACGUGAGUAACCUGCCCUUGACUUCGGGAUAACUUCAGGAAACUGGGGCUAAUACCGGAUAGGAAUCCUUGCUGCAUGGUGGGGGUUGGAAAGCUUCGGCGGUUUUGGAUGGACUCGCGGCUUAUCAGCUUGUUGGUGGGGUAGUGGCUUACCAAGGCUUUGACGGGUAGCCGGCCUGAGAGGGCGACCGGCCACAUUGGGACUGAGAUACGGCCCAGACUCCUACGGGAGGCAGCAGUGGGGAAUAUUGCACAAUGGGCGGAAGCCUGAUGCAGCAACGCCGCGUGCGGGAUGACGGCCUUCGGGUUGUAAACCGCUUUCAGCAGGGGCGAAGCUUGUGGUGACGGUACCUGCAGAAGAAGCACCGGCUAACUACGUG